GGUGACUGAACCAGAGUAGUGGUCUUAUGCAGUCAGAAUGGAAAAGGGAGCAUUGCUUUUUGUACGCCAUUGCUACAGUAAAGCGAGCAUAGGGUGGCUGAAGCAGCAGCUCUUGGGCAAAAGCCGCAUUUAAAUAUGAUUGCAGAAGAGGCCGCCGCUCAAACCGCCAGCAAAGCAAAGAGCGCUUACCUAGAACUGGCAGAGCAGCAGCAGCGAGCCGCUUCCAAACCGCAGGCUGGGUCUGGGGUAUUUCCUGCCCUAGAGGCAUAGGACUGGCUCCCCUCGAGCAGAAACAAUAAGAGAACAGCAAAUAGUCUCCUGGGGGACGCAGUAAAGAACGCAGUAAAGAAAAGAACCGGAGCAUUAACUCAGCUACUUGCCUUUUUUUUUUUUAUCGCCCGCAGGCACGAAUUUAAAAAGAAGUUUACUUGCAGAGAGAAAGGCCAUUUCCUUCUCUUUACCAGCCCACAGUAAGACACAUCUUACAGUCAGUUCCUCCCAGAAGCAGCCACCACCAUCCAGGAGCCACCACCAGCACUCAGGUGGACGUCAUUCAAAUGAAGAGGAACUGAGAACUGACAUGGCUGCUGCAGCCACCCCCUCUUGCCCCUGGCUGCGGCGGUGCUGUUGCAGAGAAUAAAGGGACUCUAUGCCACUUAUGGAUCGGGCAGGAAAAGCGGCUGUUUCAGUUGGUUUGCAGGUGUUGCGUGCUGCCAGCAGGCCACAAAGUGUCUGUAAAACAACACGUGGGUGAACCAACACACGCCUUUGUGAAACGAGAAGCAGCAGUUAAUACUGAACAUUAUUAUGUGCCAUCUAGUCUAACGUGGCAACAGAGAAGCAUGUGAGAUUCUUUGGUGUUGCUUUCGCUAUUUGAAGAUUGAUUUAUUCUGCGACGUCUCUGAAAGAAAUAUGUCUGAUAUUGCAUAUAAUUUUCAGUUUUAUCACUCUACUGCUGUCUCAUGUGACAUUCUGGUCUACAGCAGUUAAAGAACACAGUAAUAUUGACUAGCUGCAGAAGCAAUAGUAAAAAUUGUACAUGACAUUAGAGGUACAGAAAUGAAAUGCACACAUCUCAAACCCGUUCGUUUUCUGAAACACACGGUUGGCAUCAGCACAUGUGCAAGAGAUCGCUGGCAUGUCAUCUUGCACUCCAAGCAAAACCCUGGUUACAGAGGAGUUUGUUCACUGUUGCUUUAGAGCUUACAUUAUUCAUCCUGUUGGAAAUCACAGCAGUGUUCCCCUUACAGUCUUACCAGUACAAUUAUAUGAACGCGAGAGUGCAAAAUCUUCUCAGAGGCCUGUUUUUGUAUCUUGGAACACUAAAUGCCUUGGUUACUGUUAUUUAGAGUUAAUGACAACAGCAAAAGUCAGGUGUAAGACUUGGAAGGCCAGCAAGUAUGUUUGCCUUCUAGCAUCUGGCUCACUAAGAAGGGAGUCACUGCUGAAGAUAUUAAAUACAAUAAGUUAGGUCACUGGCUAUGUAGUUACAUAGGAAAAACAGAUGAUAAUGAACCAGAGAGGACAAAAGCAGCAGAAAAUAAUCAGAGAUGGCAGAACUCUACGUUCGACCGAGGAUGAAGCCUCCCAUGUUUUUCAGGAACGGAGUCUUUAAUGAACAUUCUGUUACACUCUGGCUCAAACCGCACGCUUGGAUAGCAGGCCGGCUUCAGAAAGUGCAGGUGGGCAAAUCCCACGCCAGUCACCGUGCCGUGCCACCUGCUAGCUGAGCUGGUCCUCAGUGUAGGAAUUAUCUUCAGAACAGUGAGCCGAUUGCGGGUGAUUCUGUCCUGAUGCUUGGUUCUGGAGGAAAACCUGUGCCCGAGGAACUUCUGCUUUCUCCCAAGAUAUCCUGCUUUGUAAAGAACAGUGUAGCUCAAUUUGUCUACAUUUGAAGUUCAGAAACCAAAAGGGAGGGAGAGGAGAACAUCUUUUAAUAAGGGAAAAUGAAUAACUAAAGAAAGAAUGUAUUUAGGUAUAAUAUGUGAGGAGUAUCUUGCAGUCUGAGCUGUAACAUAAAAAUUACACAAAAUGCAUAAAACACAAAACAAACAAUAACCACCAUUAAAAGUGCAACUGCAGGUCCUGUAACAAACGAUACAGUUUUCUGAAGCUAUCUUCCAGGGUGACGUCUUACCCACAAGAAGGCUUUCGGAAUGGGACCUGCAGAAGACAUCCAUCUGUGAGGUUUUAGAAGAAACUCUGCUGAAGAAACAAGCAACACAUAGCGGCUAAGGCUUUAUUCUCGUGAAUAAAUUAUCAAGCCAGCUGUGGGUAUUCAUUCUUUUAAUCACAGAUUCGUUAGGGUUCAUACACAUUUUAAUCCGCAAUGAAAAUCUCAACGUGCUCUAAGUGCUGCCACAGGUGAAAUUAUAUGUUUUGGCAUCUAGCACCUUGCAUUUUGACAUAGUGAUUACGCUACCUCUGAGGGAAAAUCCAAAAUUUUAUCAUUGAAGUUUAUAAGCGAGCGAUCUCCUCCCAGCUACGUCAUCAGUCCACGUAAUUAUGUUUAUAUAAGAAAUUUGAAUAAAAGAUAGUUUGAUCUUCUAGCCAUAUUACCUCUGGGGCUGGUGGAAAGCUGAGGUCUCGUAGUGCUUACUGUCGCCUCCAGAAGAGAGCUGCCACAUGCAGGUAGCGCAAAAAUUCAGCAGCUACCGCUAUUUCAGUUCAGUUGUUUUUCCUCCUGCUGGUAUCUGUGGUUGCAGAUCAAGGUUCAGGGCCUCAUGAAGCAGGCAGCCGACUCCGCUAAUCCCACUUGAUCCUGCUGCCAGAUCCUCCAGUGCUGGAUCUGAAAGAAAGCUUUUUUUCUGUGCCUGAACUAAUCUAGACAAAGACAAAUACGAAAGCUGCCUAGUGGCUACCAUAUAAACAUACAAAAAGCCUGAUGACCUAAUGUACAAGUAUAACUAAGGAGACAAGAUGCCAAGAAAACAACUGCCAGAAAGUUUCCCUUCGAUGCACUUAUGAUAGAAAUUUCUCAACAGCCUCGAGGAACUCUGUAGAUGAGCUAAGCCCUUCCAAAUCCAGCAGAUUGUUCUUUUUGUCACAGAAGUGGAAUAAUUCAGUCUCUUCCUCUUCAGGUUCCUCUUGAAAUAGGUUUGUCUCUGAGGUAGGAAUGAUAAUGAUUCGAGGGACUGUAUUGCUAACGAUAGAGUCCAAGCCUCCAUUAUUAUGACUUUCUUGAGUUUCCAUCUGCGAGGUGUCUGAGCCUGCUUCUAGGCUGAUGCUGCCGCUGUUCAAACCGACAGGCAGAGAGGCUGCUCGGAGGGAGCUGGUCACGAGCGCUACGGGGGAGCUGAGGAAGACUGACGGCCCCAGAACCUUCUCCAGGCAGCUGGAUGACAGCGAAACCUAGAGCAGAGGGAAAAGCAUCAGUGUCACUGCAAAUCAGUACUUGGAAUAUUCAGUGCCGCUACUCACUACAUCAGACGCUCAUCCUAUUUUCUAAAUGGUUGAAUCACUGACUAGAAAGGAGGAAAAUCACAAUGCGUUACCAUCUACAGCUUGGAAAGCAAAAUGUUAAAUGAAGCAAAAGAAAAUGUGAUCAAACACUGGCAAAGACCGACAAGAAAAGAAAACCCCGGUCCCCCUUUACCUCUCUUUAGCCAGCACACUGCCGUUAUUGCCAGCCAUUCUGCAUAACAUAUUGCGCUGCAAUCUCGUUGCGCAGAGAAAAAAAAAAACACAACAAAAAACAAACAGAGAAGAUGCAUCUGUUUUCACUCAAUUUUUGUGGUUUUGCAAGGAAAAGAAGGAUCAGCCUUUUCUGUGUGUGUUUCUCUGUCAAGCUGGGUGUGAGUUUAAAUACCGACACGUACUGCUGUACCAUGCUCUACUCUACAGGCACUAAUCCUUCACAAAUCUCUGCUGAUAAUGAUUUCUUUCCCUGCUGUACCUUCCCCAGUGCAGAGAAUAACGAUGUGCUAAAAAACAGUGGUUUCAGUAAACCUGACAGAGAAGAAAUUCCUUUUAUUUCAAAUUGAGACUGUGGAAGAAUGAAAGAAUAAUUUAAAAUCCCUCCAGUCUCUGCUGUUUUUAACUGCUUGUGGCUUAGUGGGCAUGACAGCACAUUCACUAGUUUUCCUCUAGACAGGACUUUGCUAGUUGAGCAUUGGGAUGACCAGCGUGGGCUUGGUUGCAACUCCUGCUGGUUACAGAGUGGCAAGGAGUGAAGAGAGAACAGAUCUUGGUGCUUGUUCCUCUGAGCGACAGCCAAUCCCUCGCUGCCCUGCGCUGCCCUGCUGGUGGUGGUCAUAGCGGUGCCUGCAGACACGCAGCUUUCUCCACAGCUGAGGCGCUUGUUCAUGGCGGUGUUUAAAAGACCACCAAACAACAUGUGUACAUUCCCUUUAGCCCUCUUGUGAGAUGACUUCUCCGAGCAGGUGUGAGCCACCUUUCCUCUGUCACAGACAUUUCCGAAGGGCACGCCUGCAGGAGGUCAGAGCUGGCAGCCCUCAUUUCACGCUGCGUAGUUCCCUUGGUACGCACGCUGGGUGCACAGAGCACGCUUGACAACUCUCCUUUGAAACCAAGUGUUCCAAUCUACCUUAUACUUACAACAGAUGCCUGCAUUUCGGUGCUUGCAAAAAGGCCUCCUCACAGCCGUGUUAGGUUUCCCAGUGUCAGCUGACAGGAUGUCUGCUACCAUUCUAAUUGCAAUUAGCCAUGGGGCUGCUUGUAACUUUGUGACAGAAAAGGAUCCCACGUGUUUCUAUGCUUUCUAUGCCCCAGACCUGGAACAGCGAAUAGUGUUUUACUUACGCUUGAGGGAUGUUUUUUCUUUCUUUGUGCUUUUGUU